AAAUUGAAGAGUUUGAUCAUGGCUCAGAUUGAACGCUGGCGGCAGGCCUAACACAUGCAAGUCGAACGGUAACAGGAAACAGCUUGCUGUUUCGCUGACGAGUGGCGGACGGGUGAGUAAUGUCUGGGAAACUGCCUGAUGGAGGGGGAUAACUACUGGAAACGGUAGCUAAUACCGCAUAAUGUCGCAAGACUAAAGAGGGGGACCUUCGGGCCUCUUGCCAUCGGAUGUGCCCAGAUGGGAUUAGCUAGUAGGUGGGGUAACGGCUCACCUAGGCGACGAUCCCUAGCUGGUCUGAGAGGAUGACCAGCCACACUGGAACUGAGACACGGUCCAGACUCCUACGGGAGGCAGCAGUGGGGAAUAUUGCACAAUGGGCGCAAGCCUGAUGCAGCCAUGCCGCGUGUAUGAAGAAGGCCUUCGGGUUGUAAAGUACUUUCAGCGGGGAGGAAGGGAGUAAAGUUAAUACCUUUACUCAUUGACGUUACCCGCAGAAGAAGCACCGGCUAACUCCGUGCCAGCAGCCGCGGUAA
rnacentral:rRNA from 1 species